rnacentral:rRNA from 1 species
UACCAGCAUCCCGAGUGGUCGGGACGAUUAUUGGGCCUAAAGCAUCCGUAGCCGGUUCUGCAAGUCCCCCGUUAAAUCCAGCUGCUCAACAGAUGGGCCGCGGAGGAUACUACAGAGCUAGGAGGCAGGAGAGGCAAGCGGUACUCAGUGGGUAGGGGUAAAAUCCGUUGAUCCAUUGAAGACCACCAGUGGCGAAGGCGGCUUGCCAUAAUGCGCUCGACGGUGAGGGAUGAAAGCUGGGGGAGCAAACCGG